ACAUGCAAGUCGAACGGCAGCACAGUAAGAGCUUGCUCUUUACGGGUGGCAAGUGCCGGACGGGUUAGGAAUACAUCGGAAUCUACUCUGUCGUGGGGGAUAACGUAGGGAAACUUACGCUAAUACCGCAUACGACCUACGGGUGAAAGCAGGGGACCUUCGGGCCUUGCGCGAUUGAAUGAGCCGAUGUCGGAUAAGCUAGUUGGCGGGGUAAAGGCCCACCAAGGCGACGAUCCGUAGCUGGUCUGAGAGGAUGAUCAGCCACACUGGAACUGAGACACGGUCCAGACUCCUACGGGAGGCAGCAGUGGGGAAUAUUGGACAAUGGGCGCAAGCCUGAUCCAGCCAUACCGCGUGGGUGAAGAAGGCCUUCGGGUUGUAAAGCCCUUUUGUUGGGAAAGAAAUCCAGCUGGUUAACACCCGGUUGGGAUGACGGUACCCAAAGAAUAAGCACCGGCUAACUUCGUGCCAGCAGCCGCGGUAAUACGAAGGGUGCAAGCGUUACUCGGAAUUACUGGGCGUAAAGCGUGCGUGGGUGAUCGUUUAAGUCCGUUGUGAAAGCCCUGGGCUCAACCUGGGAACUGCAGUGGAUACUGGACGACUAGAGUGUGGUAGAGGGUAGCGGAAUUCCUGGUGUAGCAGUGAAAUGCGUAGAGAUCAGGAGGAACAUCCAUGGCGAAGGCAGCUACCUGGACCAACACUG
rnacentral:rRNA from 1 species